rnacentral:rRNA from 1 species
CCUACUCUCAGUUCGGACUGGAGUCUGCAACCCGACUCCACGAAGCUGGAUUCGCUAGUAAUCGCGCAUCAGCCACGGCGCGGUGAAUACGUUCCCGGGCCUUGUACACACCGCCCGUCAAGCCAUGGGAGCCGGGGGGUACCUGAAGUGCGUAACCGCGAGGAGCGCCCUAGGGUAAAACUGGUGACUGGGGCUAAGUCGUAACAAGGUAAC